rnacentral:rRNA from 1 species
CGGCGGACGGGUGAGUAACGCGUGGGGUAACCUGCCUCAUACAGGGGGAUAACAGUUAGAAAUGACUGCUAAUACCGCAUAAGCACACAGAACCGCAUGGUUCGGGGUGAAAAGCCGAGACGGUAUGAGAUGGACCCGCGUCUGAUUAGCUAGUUGGAGGGGUAACGGCCCACCAAGGCAACGAUCAGUAGCCGACCUGAGAGGGUGACCGGCCACAUUGGGACUGAGACACGGCCCAAACUCCUACGGAAGGCAGCAG